CAGGAUUACGUCAAUUGACAUCCACGAAGAAGAACGGUUUGUUUUCAACAAUGGUUUUUACGAAGAAGAAACUGCAGGAUGGGAAUUUUGGAGACAGCGCUGUCCUGAAAGCACAUUUAGAAACCACUACAGCCUGGGGGUGACUAGUUCCAUGUUGCCAGAACUGCAGCAGAAUACCGUUUGCAUCGGAGCCACAGCCAUUCCCCCAUGUCCAACUGCCACAGGCACAUCGGCAACAGGGACUUUGCCGGCCCAUUGGAAAACAUCCGUUGAAGAACCAAAGCCUCCAAAAGGAAAGACAAUAAAGAAACUUGCUCAAACAUCCCAAAAAAGAACAAACAAUGAACCAUCUCAGAAGUGCAAAACACAACAGGCAAAUAAAUCACACUGUAGUUACAGCCCAAGAAGAGGAGGAUAAACAAAGCUGCCAAAAUACAGACACAAACAAAGAUUUUCCUCAAAUACCAGCCACAAACAAAGAAGUCUCUCAAAUGCCCCCAAUAAGGGAAGUGGACAUGGAGGUAAUUGAAACAUGGGACGCAGUGGACAUUCUGACCUACCAGAUCCUAUGGGUUCUCGCUCGCUUAUUUACACACACCAGUGCACAGUACACAAAGACUUUUCUUUUGUAAAGUUAUGUCGGUGAAGAAUGUUUCAUAAAACAAAGUUAGUUUUCAGAACCAAGAGUUGUACAUAGAUACUUUUUAAAUAGAAAACAAAUGUAGACAUACAGUAUCUCAAACAGAGGUUGUCCUCUACUGGUUAAGACCAUGGUCAGUUUUGGUACGUUGGUAUCAGUUUUAAAUGUAGUCAAACAUAUUUUCUUAGUUUCACUCCCUGGUAAAUGCAACGACUUGGGAUUGUUCAAAGUGCUUGCACUAAAGCUGAACAUGCAGAAAACCUGAACAUUUUGAUUAUCAGGAGUGAACUUUACAUUAUUGCCCCUGUCGUUUAAUGAAGGGUCAAUAAUGUUAAUCCAGCUGGAAAAACAUUGUAAAUAUUUUAUUGUUGAAUUGUUUAUUUUGUAUAGUUUAUCUCUAGAUCAAUACGUUUAGUGCUAUCCUGGAUCCUUGGGACAUCCCUAAAGAUUAUGGAUAUACGUCUCUCUACCCUAACAAUGUCGUUGUCCACAAAGCGGCACGGUGGGCUGUCUAGCUCCCGCCUUUCUUUGGAUUGGUGGAGACAUCUCAUUAUUGUAAUCUGUUUUUUAGUGUUUGAUGAGGGUUGUUGACGUCAAUCUCGAGUAUUCAAUGGCGGGAUACACGACUAGCCUUAUAACAUGAAUAUGCAUAGCCAUCUCCGAUAAAACGUGUUUUUUAUCAAAGUUGCUGGGCUGUCACGUGGCCUACUUAUAUCACUCGUACACUCGUAAGCACCAAACGUCUAUUCGAUCAAAUAGACCUCAGGUAGAAAAUGAACCAUUCAUUGACCUCCAUACAAAAACUUGCAUAGUUGCCGAAACAACGAAAAAACCGCCACCUGUUGGAGGGGGACCGGUUUUCCGGCAAAUUAGGCUACUCUUCCUAUCUGGUUUCGACUUUCCUUUUUUAAAAUGUAUUUAUUUUUAUUUGCUCAUUAGGCUAUUCCUUUUAUUGACAUGUUAAAAGCAGAGCAAUGAAUACCAUUAAAGAUCCCACAUUAGAACUCCGUAACAUGAUGCACAGUAAAUAACCUGCAUCAUUACGGAUAACAUUUUUUAUCCAACAGCAACAUGUUUAUGUGCAAUGUGUUGACCUACGUGUUAAAAAUGUAUCUAUGUCCUCAUCUGUUUUUUUGUUUUGUUUUACCUGUCUGCUGUAUUUAUGUUGUCUGUUUUCUGGUUUAGACGUUCUUAAAAAAUAUAUAUUUUUAUUAUACAUUUAUUUUAUUCAUAAUACAAAAAUCAACUUACAUUGCUACAUCAAACAUGUCUAAUAAAUAAAAAGAAAAUACAAAAAAUAAACAAUUUGUG